UACGUAGGGGGCAAGCGUUGUCCGGAUUUAUUGGGCGUAAAGAGCGUGUAGGCGGUUUGGUAGGUCCGCUGUGAAAACUCGAGGCUCCAACCUCGAGACGCCGGUGGAAACCAUCAGACUAGAGUCCGGAAGAGGAGAGUGGAAUUCCGUGGUGUAGCGGUGAAAUGCGCAGAUAUCGGGAGGAACACCGGUGGCGAAGGCGGUUCUCUGGGCCUUACCUGACGCUGAGGAGCGAAAGCGUGGGGAGCGAACAGG
rnacentral:rRNA from 1 species